AUGGACCACCAACAGUCCAGGUUUUAUGUAUUUCCUUGUUUUAUUCCAAUGGAGAUACUGGCAAAACUUGGACUGUUGGUGGUCCAUGAGGACU